rnacentral:rRNA from 1 species
UACGUAGGGGGCAAGCGUUGUCCGGAAUCAUUGGGCGUAAAGAGCGUGUAGGCGGUCCGGUAAGUCCGCUGUAAAAGUCAAGGGCUCAACCCUUGAAAGCCGGUGGAUACUGCCGGGCUAGAGUCCGGAAGAGGCGAGUGGAACUCCUGGUGUAGCGGUGAAAUGCGCAGAUAUCAGGAGGAACACCAAUGGCGAAGGCAGCUCGCUGGGACGUGACUGACGCUGAGACGCGAAAGCGUGGGGAGCAAACAGG